rnacentral:rRNA from 1 species
UGGGGAAUCUUGGACAAUGGGCGAAAGCCUGAUCCAGCCAUGCCGCGUGAGUGACGAAGGCCUUCGGGUUGUAAAGCUCUUUUGGCGGGGACGAUAAUGACGGUACCCGCAGAAUAAGCCCCGGCUAACUUCGUGCCAGCAGCCGCGGUAAUACGUAGGGUGCGAGCGUUAAUCGGAAUUACUGGGCGUAAAGGGUGCGCAGGCGGUUAUGUAAGUCAGAUGUGAAAUCCCCGGGCUUAACCUGGGAAUUGCGUUUGAAACUACAUGACUAGAGUGUAACAGAGGGAAGUGGAAUUCCGCGUGUAGCAGUGAAAUGCGUAGAUAUGCGGAGGAACACCGAUGGCGAAGGCAAUCCCCUGGACCUGUACUGACGCUCAUGCACGAAAGCGUGGGGAGCAAACAGGAUUAGAUACCCGAGUAGUCCCUGAGCGGGCUGGCAAGGCGCAU